rnacentral:rRNA from 1 species
GUUAGGAAUAUUGGACAAUGGGCGCAAGCCUGAUCCAGCCAUGCCGCGUGAGUGAUGAAGGCCUUCGGGUUGUAAAGCUCUUUAGCCGAUGAUUAUAAUGACUGUAGUCGGAAAAUAAGCCCCGGCUAACUUCGUGCCAGCAGCCGCGGUAAUACGAAGGGGGCGAGCGUUAUUCGGAAUCACUGGGAGUAAAGCGUGCGUAGGCGGCUUUGCAAGUUGGGAGUGAAAGCCCAGGGCUCAACCCUGGAAUUGCUCUCAAAACUGCAAGGCUCGAAUUCGGGGGAGGAUAGCGGAAUUGUCAGUGUAGCAGUGAAAUGCGUAGAUAUUGACAGGAACACCAGUGGCGUAAGCGGCUAUCUGGACCGAUAUUGACGCUGAGGCACGAAAGCGUGGGGAUCAAACAGGAUUAGAAACCCUUGUAGUCC